GGGCCUAUAGCUCAAUGGCGGAGCAGGGGACUCAUAAUCCCUUGGUUGCAGGUUCGAGCCCUGCUGGGCCCACCA
rnacentral:tRNA from 1 species